rnacentral:rRNA from 1 species
GACGUAGGGCGCGAGCGUUUGUCCGGAUUUAUUGGGCGUAAAGAGCUCGUAGGUGGUUCGGUAAGUCAGGUGUGAAACCUCCAGGCUCAACCUGGAGACGCCACUUGAUACUGCUGUGACUGGAGUCCGGUAGGGGGAGCGUGGAAUUCCUGGUAUAGCGGUGAAAUGCGCAGAUAUCAGGAGGAACACCAGCGGCGAAGGCGGCGCUCUGGGCCGGUACUGACACUGAGGAGCGAAAGCGUGGGUAGCAAACAGG